CCAAGUUCUCUUCAUGUAAGAAAGUGGGUCCCAGCCUCUGUCUUUCUCUCUUUCUCUCUCCUCUCUCCUCUCUUUCUAAAUACAACUCACCCUUUUCUCCUCUCUCCCACGAAACAACGGCGUCCUCUCUCUCUCUCUCUCUCUCUCUCUCUCUCUCUCUCUCUCUCUCUCUCUCUCUCUCUACGUGGUUUUUUUCUCCCUCUGCCAUUGGAAAAAACACAAACGCUAAUUCCUCAAAAAUCCUUAAAGAUUCUCUCUCUCUCUCUGUGUUCCAAAACAAAAACCACACCAACACUCCAUUUUCCCAUCAUCUACCUCACUUAGAUUUUUCAUCAUCAUCAUUUUGUUUGUUUCCUACCAAAAUCAACCUCAUGGAGCUAUUUCCAACAAAGGGUCGCACCCGGUUUCGUGCCGCGGAAUCUUUUCAACAGUAA